UACGUAGGGUGCGAGCGUUGUCCGGAAUUAUUGGGCGUAAAGAGCUUGUAGGCGGUUUGUUGCGUCGGCUGUGAAAACCUGAGGCUCAACCUCAGGCCUGCAGUCGAUACGAGCAGACUAGAGUGUUGCAGGGGAGACUGGAAUUCCUGGUGUGAGCGGUGAAAUGCGCAGAUAUCAGGAGGAACACCGGUGGCGAAGGCGGGUCUCUGGGCAACAACUGACGCUGAGGAGCGAAAGCGUGGGGAGCGAACAGG
rnacentral:rRNA from 1 species